UGUGUGUGUGUGUGUGUGUGUGUGUGUGUGUGUGUGUGUGUGUGUGUGUGUGUGUGUGUGUGUGUGUGUGUAAGGGAAUAUUUUUGCAAAUGAUCAACAACAAGCGGCAUGUUGUGAAGGGAUCUCAUAGCCAAAGGCAGGAAAUGUGCAUUCUCUAGGGGAAGCGAGAACCUGGUGGGGCGAAGACGUAGAAUCAGGUCGAGUGAUGAAGAGCUACUGUGCAUGUGCAUGCCAGCAUUUUCUUUUCUUUUUUUUUAUUCCUUUUUUAAAAUCUUUACCAGAACGUGUUAAUUUGUUGCAAGUCAGCACCAUUGCACCGGUAAGCGGAUAAGGAGCGAGCUGGAUUAUACAUGAAGGUGUGUGUUUGAGAUGACUGGGGCAGAGAGAGGGUCUGAAGAGGUUCCAGAGAGGAAGGAAUUGAGAGAUGAGAUCUGGAAACCAAGGAGAUACAACCAAAAGGGAGCCAAGAAGCUGCCAUGAGGGUUCUCCAGGAGGUCGGGG